GACGAACGCUGGCGGCGUGCUUAAUACAUGCAAGUCGAACGAGAAGGUGACUUCGGUCACUGGAUAGUGGCGUCCGGGUGAGUAACACGUAGGUAAUCUACCUUCGGGUGGGGAAUAACGUCUCGAAAGAGACGCUAAUACCGCAUAAUGCAGCGGCACCUAAUGGUGAUUAGUUGUUAAAGCGGGGGAUCUUCGGACCUCGCGCCUGAAGAGGAGCCUGCGGCAGAUUAGCAGUUGGUGAGGUAAUGGCUCACCAAGGCUUCGAUCUGUAGCUGGUCUGAGAGGACGGCCAGCCACACUGGCACUGACACACGGGCCAGACUCCUACGGGAGGCAGCAGUGGGGAAUUUUGGGCAAUGGGCGAAAGCCUGACCCAGCAACGCCGCGUGAAGGAGGAAAUCCUUCGGGAUGUAAACUUCAUAAGUAAGGGAAGAAAGCUGCGGAUCGAAUAAGUCCGCAGUCCGACGGUACCUUACGUAAGCCACGGCUAACUACGUGCC
rnacentral:rRNA from 1 species